rnacentral:rRNA from 1 species
UACGGAGGGAGCUAGCGUUGUUCGGAAUUACUGGGCGUAAAGCGCACGUAGGCGGCUUUGUAAGUUAGAGGUGAAAGCCCGGGGCUCAACCCCGGAAUUGCCUUUAAGACUGCAUCGCUUGAAUCCGGGAGAGGUGAGUGGAAUUCCGAGUGUAGAGGUGAAAUUCGUAGAUAAUCGGAAGAACACCAGUGGCGAAGGCGGCUCACUGGACCGGCAUUGACGCUGAGGUGCGAAAGCGUGGGGAGCAAACAGG